GAGGGCGGGGGAUAACCACUGGAAACGGUGGCUAAUACCGCAUAAUGUCGCAAGACCAAAGUGGGGGACCUGAAAGGGCCUCACGCCCGUGGAUGAACCCAGAUGGGAUUAGCUGGUAGGUGGGGUAAUGGCUCACCUAGGCGACGAUCCCUAGCUGGUCUGAGAGGAUGACCAGCCACACUGGGACUGAGACACGGCCCAGACUCCUACGGGAGGCAGCAGUGGGGAAUAUUGCACAAUGGGCGCAAGCCUGAUGCAGCCAUGCCGCGUGUAUGAAGAAGGCCUUCGGGUUGUAAAGUACUUUCAGCGGGGUAGGAAGGGGUUGAUUUGAACAGGGUCAAUUCUUGACGUUACCC
rnacentral:rRNA from 1 species